GAUGAACGCUGGCGGCGUGCCUAAUACAUGCAAGUCGAGCGAACGGACGAGAAGCUUGCUUCUCUGAUGUUAGCGGCGGACGGGUGAGUAACACGUGGAUAACCUACCUAUAAGACUGGGAUAACUUCGGGAAACCGGAGCUAACACCGGAUAAUAUUUUGAACCGCAUGGUUCAAAAGUGAAAGACGGUCUUGCUGUCACUUAUAGAUGGAUCCGCGCUGCAUUAGCUAGUUGGUACGGUAACGGCUUACCAAGGCAACGAUGCAUAGCCGACCUGAGAGGGUGAUCGGCCACACUGGAACUGAGACACGGUCCAGACUCCUACGGGAGGCAGCAGUAGGGAAUCUUCCGCAAAGGGCGAAAGCCUGACGGAGCAACGCCGCGUGAGUGAUGAAGGUCUUCGGAUCGUAAAACUCUGUUAUUAGGGAAGAACAUAUGUGGAAGUAACUGUGCACAUCUUGACGGUACCUAAUCAGAAAGCCACGGCUAACUACGUG
rnacentral:rRNA from 1 species